UGGGACACUUAAGACUUUUAUAAGGUCCUUCUCCCUCAGCUGGAGGGAGCACAGCAGUGAGCCAAGGAGACGGGACCCUCUGCUUUGUCCUCCUGCUGUGCUGCUGGCAAGAAGUGAAGACCUGGCCAAUAAGAAUGAAUUCAGGUUCAAGUUCUGGACUGCCGUCAAGUUAGUCAAGUUUUAAAAAUAUGGAUGACGAUAUGACCACAGUAUUUGGGCUCUGCAGGUGAUGCUAAAGUACAGCCGGCUGAGAACUGCUGCCCUGGGCCAGGGCCGUCCAAUAGAAACACAGCAUGAGCCGAAGAUGUGCUUUUCAUUGUCUAGUGGCCACAUUAAAAAGAUGCAGAUGAAA
rnacentral:lncRNA from 1 species